rnacentral:rRNA from 1 species
CCUACGGGAGGCAGCAGUAAGGAAUAUUGGUCAAUGGACGCAAGUCUGAACCAGCCAUGCCGCGUGGAGGAUGAAGGUCCUCUGGAUUGUAAACUUCUUUUAUCUGGGAAGAAACCCAUGUUUUCUAACGUGGUUGACGGUACCAGAUGAAUAAGCACCGGCUAACUCCGUGCCAGCAGCCGCGGUAAU